rnacentral:lncRNA from 1 species
CUUUUUUUUUUUUACCUCUGAACGCGCUAGAUCCACCUUGCAUCGCUUGUGUGGUGGCUUUUAAUGCGGUAAAACUCACUAUUCAGUCGGUCUUGAUUUCGUCCUCUAUCAUCUCUCCCAUUUUGAUGACUUCAAUAAAAGACUUUCCCAUUUCCAGAAGUAAAUAUUGAAAAUAAGUCUCAUCAUGUGCCUGAAUGAAAACCUCUACCAGCUUACUCUUCUUCAUUGGAGGAUUUACCCUGGUGGCCUGUUCACGCCACCUUAUCGCGUAUUCACUAAAGCUUUUAGUUUUUUUCUUCUUUAUGUUGCCGAAGGAUUUUUUGUCAGGAAUCAGGUAGACAUUAUACUGAAAAUGUUUCACAAACUCAGAAGCUAAGUCAUCCCAGCUGAUCCACUUAUCGAUAUCUUGAUCGGCAAAUUAUUCUGAAGCCAGAUCGAAAAGAUUUUCGCCAAAGAAAGCCAUAAGCAACUCCUCCCUUCCCCCUUACAGCCCUCAACUGGUUGCAAUAACGUCUCAAGUGUGCUACAGGAUCACCGUGCGCAACAUACUUCUCGAUCUUAGGCAUUUUAAAAUCGAGGGGAAGGUUGACGUCUAGGAAUAUACAAAGAUCUUUAUAGGAAACACUCUUGUAACCUCUGGUUCCCUGCAGAUUCCUCAUGGCCUGUUCCAAAAUUUUCAAUUUUUGUGAUAUGACCUCCUAUUCCUCUAUUGUGAUAGGUUUCUCCGUAUCAAAUGGAAAUACAGAUGGCUGAGUAUACCCAUAUGGUUAAUUCAUUCUCAAAGUAGGCUCCGGGGUAUAAUACUGACUAUCUGAAACCUUCAAUUCUGGCUCACUGGCAGACCGAGAAAGCACCAUUAUCGGACACACAACAUAUGUGGGAGCUUCAGGUGGUGGCGGAGCCAUGAACACAGGAGCUUCCGGUGGCGCCGGCUGAGUCAUGGGCCUUGGUUGAGGAAAUGCCAGGGGAACACUAGAAGUGCCAGGGUAAUAUUGCCGUGGAGUGAAUCCUGGUGCGUGCUUCGAUGACUUAAUGGGAACAGAGAAUUGUACCUGAGAGAGCGGUGGGCAAUUGGGGAUAUUCCCAAGAUCUUCAUGAAGUGGAGGAGGAGGCAAGCCACUAGCCCAUGCUCGGUGCAGAUCUAGCAAUUGUUGUCUAAGUCUUAAUACCUCAUCAUUGCGUUCUGAACUUUCUUCCCUGGGAUCCUGUUCAGGGUCAAUAAGUAAAUUUUCAAUCUCCCUACUAGCCAUGGCAAGCUUCGCUUUUGAUCUAGUGAAGUACGGAUGACUAGCCAGAGUUCUACAAACCAACCACUUAUCUGAAAGAACAUGCUCAUCAAAGGCAAAACCCGUUAGGAUUAGGUCAGGCAACAAGCAUAGAAAUCACAUUGUAUACAUCCUAGGUUUAUGCACAUUUCUACCGGCCUUUGAGGGUAAUAAGGUCAUUUUAACAUCAUCCCAAUUUCCCCAUUACAUUAUCACACCUCGUUCUUUCUGUUUUUCACCUUCAUUUCUCUCUUCUUUUGCAUCAGUCUCUUCUCUUCCUCUUUUCUUCUCUUAUUGCUCUUUCUUUUUUUCCUGCUCUCACGAUCUCAUUUCCUUUUAUCAUUCUUAUGGCUUUUAUGUUUCUUUAAAAGAGGAAAAUUGGGAAAAAUCAAAGAAACAAAACGAUUAGAUCGAACCCAAAAGUACAUGAAUCAGAUCUUGCGUAGUUCGAGCAAUGCAUGAAUAAACACCACAAAGUUGAAGAUUUGUUUUUUUAGAGAAAGAACACACAAAAGGAAACAAGUCUAGAACUUCACUACAUUUCAUAAAAGAGACAAUUGAAACAAACUUCGAGUUUAAGAAAGCUUAAAAACUGAUCAACAAAGAAUAAACAACAUUCCAGACCCAUAAGAUAACAUGAGUAAUACUCCUAGUAAAGACUCUUAACGUUUAAAACAAACUUGACCCCGACUGAGCAAAGACACAACAAUACAAGGACAGAAAGAUAAAGGACUCAAAGUAAAUAAAAGAUAAGAGUUGCUCCUUCACAUUGGUGCGCUGUGGGAUGACCCUGGAUGAGAUGGACCUAUCUGUGAAGUUAUCUUUCUCCCAUUCAAACUUUGUAGCAUAUCCUGCAAAGACACCCUGAUAUUUGGGAAGAAAUUUCUGGCACGUAUCCCCUCCUCAUGGAGAAUGCACCUUGAGAGAUUGUGCUGACACCUUUCUACAGUCUUGAGCAAAUCUGAUAACUGAACUCUCAGUGUCUCCACUUUGGCCCCCUCACUUUCAUCCUGACUGUCAUCGACAAUACAUUCUUCAUGUAUUCUUCCUCUUAAGUUGUAAGGGAAAUGGCCUACUAAUGAUCUCAUAUCUUUAAGUGUACCCUAGAUUAUACAGACCUACUUUGAGAGUAUCGACACCUAGCUUUAUUGCGUGAUUCCAGAAUUCUUCGUAUUUACUUUUGCCUAAGGCUUGAUCCUUAAAAUGAUCUACAUCCUUCAGAAGGUCCAUUACCGGUGGAACGUCCUGCAGUCUACCCAACUGGCGCAUUACCCUAAAAGAAGAGUACGGGCUGGUGCAAUUGAUUCCUAACAAGACUAAAAGAGGUUGCAUCCGAUAACCACACAAGAUUAUUUUUGGACGAAACCAUAGAUAGGUCCACAGAAUGUUGUCUUCAGUUCUUGAUUCAAGAAGUUCAGCCCAAGCAUCAAUCCCUAUCGGCAGCGAGAACUUAUCAAAACACAUUCUCUGAUUCAUAGCGUUCACUCGCUCAGGCAUACAAUGAUCAAUCACAUCCAACCUAAUCAAAGAAGGCUCUUGCAAGUGCUCCAUCAUCCACAAUUGCAAUAUCAGGUUGCUUUCCUCAAAGAAUCUUAUCCCGCCCUUCACCUCGGUUAAAGCUUUAUAUAUUUCUGCCAAGAUCAUAGGUAUGAGUGUGAAUGUUUUCCCUAGAUUUUUAUGAAAUAAGGCCAUCACUACAAUCUGCAAGCGAGUAUUAACCCGUCUUUCUUCUAAUGGGAAGGCCAAAAUGCCCAACAAGGUGAAAGCAAAGACUUCUAGACGACGUUUCUCCCAAUUCUUCUUGGUUGUAUAGAACUCAUCCCAAAAUCAAUCAAAACCAUCUGAAGGCUCAAAUCGAGCAUACAAAUAAUCAAAGGAGACCCAAGAUUUGUUAAGGCAUGUCAAGUGGUUAUUGUCCUUUAAACCAUAACCAUAAAUAAACCGUGUGGGAGAAUAAGUCCGUGCCCGAAUUAUUGUUUUCUUAAUGUAAGGCAACUUAAAGAAACCAGAUAUCUCUACCAUAUUAGGCGUCAUUUCACAAUUUCCAAACCUAAACACCAAAUAGCUUGGAUCCCAAAAUGUCAAUAUAGCCUCGAUCAGGUCUGGGCAGGGCGUAAGAUCUAGGAAAGAAGUGAGAGUGCCUAACUUCUUUGCCAACCCCUAUUGCUCGACGUAGUUAAAUGUGCCCCACCAUUUGAUUAACUUUUUGGCCACCUUGACAACCAUCCGGACUCUGGACUUUGUGGACAGAUCUAUCCUGUAAUGACACAUGAGAUAUUAUGAUUCCAAUUCAUGAAUAGUAUCACUGAAUAAAUCAGCCUACUUGGCUAAGACUUGCUAACAACACCAAAUUAUGAGGAAAAAGACCUAGGCUAAGGCUAAGACAAAGGCAAAAAGAUAAAGAUUAUCGGACCCACCGAGGGUUGCCUACGUAUCUUGCCCCCUAGGGACGGGAAUCAGGUAUGCGUAGUUCGUCCAGGUUGGACAAUUAAGGAUUAAAAUAAACUAAGACUUGACUGGAGAGACGCGAUUACAGACGGACGAUGAGAAAUAAAAUCUUUUUGGGUUUUUUAAUUAGACACUUCAUAUAACAUUGACAUGAACAACUAUGACAGAAAAAUCUUUUUUGUAUUUUUAAGAAAAUGAGUGUGAAAGGUAAAAAAUCUUUUUGAAUUUUUGGAUUGUGAAAAACAAAAGCCAUAAAGAACUCUAAAAACUACGAAACUCUUUUUUUUUACUCCUUUUUUUUUACUCACUCUUUUCAUUGCCUACAUAUUUUAUUUAUAACACAUGUUUUCCCCAAAUUUGUCCGUCAAAUGACCCCAUUACCCUCAAAGGUCCAACAUUUAGCACGUAGGGAUGCGUCAAAGAUGAGUCUCCUACAAAGGAUCAAAUAGGCCCCACUAGGUCUAAAUAUGAUGCACAUAAGUAUGACCUAAAGGCUGACCUACACUGGGGUUUACUAACAAGGCUGUUCAGGGGAACGUAUGGUCGAUAGUGACUGUUUUGGCUGUCCACCUACUCCAUACCAGCCAACGGCUCCCCCUCUAAGAUAAGGGUGACUCAACUAUAGGUCGUGUACACAGCGUGUACUACAGUACUUGUUGCAGAAAGAAUUGACUUGGGUUAUGCACAUGAUGCCAGAUAUAAAGCAGUAACACAUAGGAAAACUGUAAACAAAGAGUGCAUAAGCAUGCCACAAUGAUAAAACAAUACAAACAGUCACACAAACACGUUUAUACACCCAUAAUGUCAAACUAAGCCGAUAUAACUCCAAAAAGAAAUAAGUUCGAAUUUUGAAAAGUCCUCACAGAGUCGCCAAAACUGUCACACCCCUUUUUUCAACACGAAAAAGAUUGGAUUUUAUGGUUCGAAAGGGUUUUUAUUAUUAAAGUGACAAAAGGAUGAAAAUCUAUUUUAAAAAGGGACUAUUGACAUUUUUUAUUCAGAGUCGCCACUUGACAUAAUCCGGUGUGCCAAGUCACCUUUGGAAAAUCCUUUUCAAAACAUUUUGACUCUUGAAACUGGUUUGCGAACAGAGAUUCCAGUUAAGGAAUUCUGUUAAACCGAGGGGAAGGUGUUAGGAACCCCUCGAUCCCGUGGUUUGACCACGAUCGCUUGGUAGGGAGUAUCGGCUAACUUGACAUCAACGAGUGUAUAAACCACAUGAAACACAUAAGGUAAUCAAUCAAACAAACACACCCAAACAAAUCCCCAAAAUAAUAUUUAGGCCAAUUAUACAGACCAAAGUAAAAAGAAAUACGAAAAUAUAAAUCCUAUUCUAACCUACCCUAAUGCUAACUAUGCUCCCAUGCUACCCGAUGCCUCGGGCCUUCAUCACGGACGUCCUCCGAGUACAAAAUACUUCGGAACAUUCUCCGGAGAAAAUAAUACAAGUACUUCGGGGCAUUCCCCGGCUAAAUGAUACAAUUAAAUCAAGUACGACAAACUUAGAAAAUAUUCAAUAAACAUUCCAUAAUUCAAAUAUUCAACGAAAAACUAAAUCCAAAAUUUUGCCUACCCGAACUUACAUUGCCUAUCCGUUUCCACAUGUCAUAGCUCUUUCACGUUCACACAAUGUUUAUGCAUAUUCCGGAUUAACAAAAAUAAUAAUAAACCCACAUUAAUCUAAUUCAACCCCUAUUAUCAAGUUCUCAAUUCCACCCCCCGCUAGCGUCGUUUUUAUCAAUCAACAAUCAACACAUGAUCAAAUUCUUUCCUCAAACCACCAUAGCUAAAUCAACAAACAUCAUGAUCAACAUCAACAAUAAAGCCAACAAAUAUAAUAACAUCACACAUAAUCACAACCAAUUCGACACACCAAGAUAAAUAAAAAAGAGAGGGGUUAAGAAAUGGACCUUUCGAUAUCGAUUUUCGUUGAUAAUAUGAGUUAAGAAAACCCGAGUUUGGAAUCCUUGAUAGCACCUCAAUGAUGAAUAAGCUCCAAACUCGAUAUUAGAAUAAUAGCCAAACAGCUUUGAGACCAGUGAGUAUGAACUCCUAACGCAGGAUUUAAAUCACGAACGAGGACCCGAUUGACCAUGAAACCAAUCGAAAUCUGAUAUCGACGACAAAAAAAAUAAAAGACGAACCCAAAAUCCCAAUGACCCAAUAGAAAACUGAAACCUGAUGUAGACCGAGCUCCAGUAAGCUCCGAUGAUGGCCGAAACAGGGGGUCAAGAUGACACUGACGCGUUCUAAUGUUUCUAGGCCAUAUUCACUUCGGAGCCUGUAAGAAAACGUUGAGAUUUCUCUGAUUUUAAGACGGGUUAGAUAAUCGACACACUGGACGGAUCUCCGGCAAAGAAGUUCACCAGAAAAAUAAGCAACUCAGUGGAUUCUCGUUCUCAUCCCCUUCCCCGAUCUCCCUAUUACAACCUCGCUUCCUCUUAUCGAUUUUUCUUUCUAUCUGGGUAUAUAUCGUGAGUGUGCCUUCAUAAAAGAAAUGAAAAGAAAUAAAGAAAAAAAAAUUAUGGUAUUGGUCUUCUCUGUUUUCUCUACGAGGAUGAUGAUGAAGAAGCAAAAGGGCACAAUCCAACAUAUAGCCCCCUUCCUAAUCUCUAUGUGCGUGUAUAUAUAUUUCUGUGAGAGGGGUAUGGGGCACGCGAGUGGGGUGAGGGGGUAGGGGUAGGAUAUCUUAAAAUUUCCUGGGAGGUUCCUCGUGGGCGCCCCUGGUAUAUGUGAUGUUGUGUAUAUUAUAUUUAUAAAUAAAACAAAUGGAAAAUGGUCAGCAAAAUGAAAAAUUCUAAAUUGGAAGUAUAUCCUUGUGGGUCCCUCCAAGUUGUUAUCUUGGUGUGUAUGUAUAUUCUUUCUUUGUGGACAAGAAAAUGAGAGGGGGAGGGAGGUCACGUGGGUGUGGUGUCCUAAUUUUAUUGUAGGGGUUGUUAGGGUGUUGAAAAUAAGACAAAAAUUGUUAUGAUUUUUUAUUUGGAUAAUGAAAAGAUAAAUAAAUAGAUAAGUAAAAUAAUGAGGGGGUUAUUUAUUUUCAUGGGGAAAAAUUACUACGUGGAUAGGGUAUGUAGUAAAAUGGGGUAAACGAUAAAAUUUGUGAAGGGACGAAAUUACGUGUCUGCAAAUGUAAUGGAGUUACUUGCAAUUAGUCGAUCAAUUAUUGUUGUAAUUCCAUAUCUCUUACAUACGUAGAGAAUGAAAUGAAUGUACGUACAUAUGAUAUUUCAUAUUAAAACUAUGUUGUUGUUUGGUUCUUCAUGAGCAUCAUGUCACUUAUAAGGUAUACUAUCUACUAGAAUAAGUGACUAAGUUAUCUUAUUGAAUAAGUAUGUACAUACAUAUGUAUUGUGUGUGUAUGUAUGUUUUGUAGUGUAUGAAUGUUGAUGUUGAGUGUCUUAAAGAUUGUUGGGUUUGUUAUAAAUGUAAUGGAGUUACUUGCAAUUAAUCGAUCGAUCAUCGUUAUAAUUCCAUAUCUCUUACGUAUCUAAAGAAUGAAAUGAACGUACGUACGUGUGAUAUUUUGUAUUAAAACUAUACUUUUCUUUGUUUUUCAAGAGCACCAUGUGACUUGUAAGAGAUAUACAAUCUACUAGAAUAAGUGACUAAGUUAUCCCGUUGAAUAAGUAUGUACAUACAUAUAUAUUAUUUGUAUGUAUGUUUCUGUACUGUAUGAAUGUUGAUGCUAAGUGUGUUAAAGAUUGUUGGGAUUGCUGCAAAUGUAAUGGAGUUACUUGCAAUCAAUCGACUGAUCUCGUCAUAAUUUCGUAUCUCUUACUUAGAGAAUGAAAUAAACAAACGUGUGUGUGAUAUAUCAUAUUGAAACUAUAUUGUUGUUUGGUUUUACAUGAGCAUCGUGUCACUUGUAAGGUAUACUACCUACUAGAAUAAGUGACUAAGUUAUUUUGUUGAAUAAGUAUGUACGUACGUAUGUAUUUUGUGUGUGUAUAAUCUUUAUUGUAUAAAUGUUGAUGAUGGACGAUGUCUUGAAGUUGUUGGAUUUGUUCCAAUGUAAUGGAGUACUUGCAAUUUAUCGAUUGACUAACCAUUGUUGUAAUUUUCUAUCUCUUACGUACCUAGAGAAUGAAAUGAAAGUACGUACGUACGUUGUAGACACGUAAUUUUAUCCCGUAAAAAUAUUUCUUAUUUCGUUAUCACACACUUUAACCCCCAUUUUUAUAAUUUUCCACAAGAAAAAAAAACAAAUAAAAUAACCACUUCAUUUUAUUUAUUUAUUUAUUUAUUUAAAUAACAAAUCCUAAAAAAUUUUGGCUUCUUUUAAAACUUCCCAACAACCCCUCCAAUAAAAAGACAACACCUCACCUAACUACCCUUCCCAUCCCUAUACCCAUACACCUCACCUAUUUCUUUCUUUACACUUUUUAUUUCUUGGAAAAAAAUAAGAGUAGGACAAUUCUAUUAGGAUGGGGCCACGGAUUUGGAUCCAUUCUUCACAUAUGUACACCUAAUCAUCAUCUUCAUUGGGAGGAAAGGGAGAGAGAGAAAAGAACGGAGGGGGUCAUCAUCUUCAUUGGAGAGACGCCACUUUGAAGAGGGGAUCUCCAUUUUUAUUUUCCUUUUGCUCUUCACCUUCACACAGAGUAAAAUCCACCACUCCCUCACGGAAUGCACACACACACACACACACCUCUCACUGAUCUGAGAAAACACACAUCUACAUACGAAUUAACACAUACAUACAGAAAAGGUAUAGAGAGAGAGAGCUGCGAGAUACGGUGAGAAGAGUCUAGAUCGGUAGAGAGCAACGAAGAGAGAAAAUAGGCGAGGUAACGAAAUGAAUGGUACAGUCGCUGGCGCUGGUGUCUCACAUGACACACAAUUUCUAUAUUCAGAACACUGUUCCGGCGACGUUCAGUUGGAACUGAGUUUUUUGGCUAGCUCUUCGCCGGAAUCGAUUAGUUGUUAUCUGGGUUCAUUGAUUUUCAUACUGAUUUUUGGGAUUUAGCUUCUGUCCCAAUCGAAUCGUCCUUCUUUAUCUUUGGGUUUCAAAUUUCCCAAUACCGUGAUUGGUUCAUCGCUAUUGAGGUAUUCGUCUUGGGGUUUCAAGUCCGGGUGUUCUUAAACUUUAUUAUCAACGAAACUUUCUUCAAAGGUCCAUCUCUUAACUCUACUUUUUAAUUGUCUCGAAUGUGGCUAUGUCAUGAUUUUGUAUGUGGUUUUGAAUAUUGUCUGUAGCAUUAACCAUCGUUGUGGGUAUGAAUGAUUAUGUGCUUAAUAUGUUUGAAUUGUCGUUGGGCGGAUGUAUGGAUAUUGGUUUUGAGACUGUGAAGGGUGAUUUGAACUGAGGAAUUUGUUAAUCAUUCAUUGUUUAAAGGAAUCCAAUUGAGGGGUGGGAUUAAGAAAUUGAUAAAAAGUUGAACGUAGAUAAAUUUUGGGUUUGUUGUUGAUUUGCUCGGAAUACGCAUAAAUAUCGUUGAAACAUAUAGGCAAAUGUCGGUUUGGGUAGGCAAAACUUAGGAGUAAUGUUUUUAUUAAAUGUUUUGAAUGUUUAAUGUGCGUGUGAAUGUUUGUUUCUAGUUUAUCGUAUUUAAUUCAAAUGUAUUUAUUUAGAUGGGGAAUGCCUCGAGACACAUUAUAUUUAUUCACCGGGGAAUGAACCGACAUACUAUGUUGACAGAAUACGUUCAUGAGGAAGGUCCGAGGCGUAGGGUAAAGCAUGGGAGCGUAGUUGAGAUUAGUGUAGGUUAGAUAGGAUUUAUUUUCACAUUUUCUAUUUUUGGACUGGACACUAUAUUUUUGAUUCGUUUUGUUUUGUUUGUUUGUUUGAUUGUUACGUGUUUUGUAUGGUUUGUACAUUUGUAAUGUCAAAAUUAGCCGAUAUGCUCCACCAAGCGAUCGUGGUCGAACCACGGGAUCGAGGGGUGCCUAACACCUUCCCCUCGGUCAACAGAAUUCCUUAGCCAGAAUCUCUGUACUCAAACCAGUCUUAAAGAGUCAAAUUAUUUUGAAAAGGAUUUUUCAAAGGUAACUUUGCACACCGGAUUAUGUCAAGUGGCGACUCUGAGUUUUGAAUGUAAAAAUAAUCUUUUUUCGGAACAAAUCUUUAUUUUGUCACUUUAAUAAUAAAAACCCUUUCAAACCUUAAAACAAAUCUUUUCGGAUAUAUAAAAGGGGUGUGAAAGCUCUAGCAACUCUGCUGGGGAGGUUUUCAGAAUUCGAGCUUAUUUUGGAGUCGUAUCGACUUUGUUUGACAUUACGAGUGUAUAAGAGUUGUUUGUGAUUAUUGUUUGUGUUAUUGCUAUCACUUUUGUGCAUUUUCGUGCUCUUUGUGGACAGUAUUUAUCCUUUGUGUUACCGCUUUUAUAUCUAGCAUCAUGUGCAUAACCUGAGUCAUUCUUUCUGCAAUAAGUCUGUAGUACACAUGUUGUACACAACCUCUAGUUGAGUCACCCUUUUCUUAGGGGGAGAGCCGUCGGUGUUAUGGAGUAGGUGGAAAGCAAAACAGCCACUAUCGACCAUACGUUCUCCCAAAUAGCCUUGUUAGUGAACCCCAACAUAGGUCAGCCUUUAGGUCAUGCUUAUGUGCAUCAUAUUGAAGACCUAGCGGGGCCCACUAGGUCCUUCGUAAGAUACUCACCUCUAAAUCAUAUCUACGUGCUAAAUGUUGCAUCUCUGAGGGUAACGGGGUCAUUUGACGAACUGAUUUGAGGGAAAACAUGUGUUAGAGAUAAAAUGUGUAGACAAAAAAUGAAUGGUUAAAGAAGAGAAGAGAAGAAAGAAAAAGAAAAAUGGUGAAUCAAAAAGAGUGUCGUAGUUUAUUUUAGAGUUCUUUAUGGCUUUUGUUCUUCACAAUCCAAAAACUCAAAAGUUUUUUUUACCUUUUGCAUUUAUUUUCUCAAAGUACCGUAAAUUCAACAAAAAAAAAAAGAUUUUGUUUACCUUUUCUACUUAUUUGUCAAAAACAAAAGCACAAAAAGAUUUUCCUUUUGUUUUUUUUAGUAAGCAUUCAUAAUUCAAAAUUUUCAAAAAAGAUUUUUAUAUAGUAGUAGGUUUUUAUGAAAGAAAAUGCAAAAAAGAGAUGACAGAAAUUUGUACAUUUCCUAUAAUGAAAAUACCAAAAGGAUUUUUUCUUCAUAAUUAUUGGUGUCAAUCUUAGUUGAAAUGUCUAAUUAAAAACCCCAUAUGAUUUUAUUCGUUUGUCUUUGAUUGUAUCUCUUAAGUUAAAGUCAAUCUGUUAGUUAAUCGUUAAUAGUCCAGUCUGGACGAACUACGCACCCCUGAUUCUCCUCUCUCGGGAGUGAAAUACGUAGGCAACCUAUUGUUGGUUCAGGGAUCUUAUUUGAAAAAUUGAAAAAAAAAAGAGAUUUUCUUCACUCUUUAUUAGAGUAGAUGUUUCAUAUACAUCUUUAAAAGAAAACUACAAAAAAGAUUUUUCCUUUAAUAGGUUCAAGUUUCAUUUUUCAUAUGAAAUUCAAAAUCAAAAACCCAAAAGGAUUUUUCUUUGGUAAUCAUAGGUUUCAUUUUGUAUAGGGAGUUUAAACUUGAAAAAUGCAAAAGAAAUUUCGUCAAUUCUUUUGACAAUUUCUUAUUUCGUUUUCUUUUUAAAGUUUCAAGAAAAAAGAAAAAAGAAAGGAAAAAUAAUUAAUUGACCAUUUUGGCAAGACUUCACGAACUACGCACACCUGAUUCUCCUCUCUCGGGAGUGAGAUACGUAGGCGCCAGUCUUGGGUUCAGUGACCUUUUCAAAAAGAAAAAAAGAUUUUGAAAAAAAAGUGUUGAAUUCUAACGCAUUUGCUAUCUCUUGUUUAGUUAGUUUAAGGUGGUUGGUUUGUGGCAUUUUGGCUGGUCCUCCAUAUUGCACCAAGUCACAGAGAAAUUUAUGGCCAACAAGGAUAUCGAGUUUGUUGUCACUAAUCAGAUAGGGAGUUCGGUAAAUGAGAAUUUAGGAGAUAAUGAAGAGAUUCGGAAAUUAAGGCAUCAAAUGAUAGAAAUGCAUCGAGCUUGGGCUAAUGGGUUGCCGCCUCCUCCAGUUCCCACUGAUAAUCUGGAAUAUCUUUCUAGCUUGCCUCCCGUGUCAUAUGCAUAAUUUUCUAUUUUUGUUGAUAUGCCACAAUAUGCAUCAGGAUCGACUCCGGGGCAACAAUAUCCAACCACUUCUAAUGUUCAUUUUCUGACUCCCCAAUCCAAGACGACCACAUACUCGGCUCCACCUGCUGUUCAUGCUUUUGCGGUUUUGAUGUUCAUCCACAAGUUGUGCCUCCCCACUCUACAAGAGAGCCUGCAUUGAAUAUUACUGGUGAUCAGCGUUACAUUUCCGAUCCUACAUUCAAGUUGACUGGUCUUUACGGUGACACUCACCCGCCUGAAUUUCCUCCUAACACCGAGAAGCCUAUUAUGACAGAAGAACAAGACAAAAUAACCAGAAAAUUGAGAAGUUUGGAACUGGCUAUGAAGAACUUGCAAGGACUUGGGGGUUACAAAAGUGUCUCAUAUAAGGACUUAUGCAUGUUUCCACGUUUCAACCUUCCUCCUAGAUUUAAAAUGCCAAAGUUUGAGAAAUAUGACGGACAUGGGGACCCACUGGCACAUUUGAGGUGCUAUUGUAACCAAUUAAGAGGCGCUGGAGGGAAGGAAGAACUACUUAUGGCUUCUUUUGGGGAGAGUCUUUCAGUCCUAGCUUCGGAAUGAUUUGUUGACCAAAACAUCGACAAAUGGAUUAGUUAGGAUGACCUAGCUAAUGAAUUUGUGCAACAAUUUCAAUACAAUGUGGAGUUGAUCCCUGAUGAAAAAUCCCUAAAUAGUAUGAAGAAGAAGAAUAUUGAGAGCUUCAGGGAGUAUGCGAUCAGAUGGCUCGAACAAGCUGCUAGAGUGAAACCGCUAAUGAAAGAAAGAUUUAUAGUGAGGGUGUUUAUUCAAGCGCAGGAUGAAACAUAUUAUUAACACUUGUUACCUGUAUUUGGCAAGUUAUUUAUUGAGGUCCUUAAAAUAGGGGAGAUGAUAGAAGAAUGAAUUAAGAUGGGUCGCAUUGUGAGUUUUGCAACAUUAAAAGCGACUACUCAAGCAAUUCAAAAGGGUUCAGGAAGUGUUGGGGAGACAAAGAAUGAGUAAGAUGCAUCCGCUAUUGUAGUAGGACAACGGGAAUGGUCAAGAAUACUCCGUCGUCAUCACUCUCAAGCUCAAACCCAAGUUCAUACCCAAACUCCACAUAGUCACUCCCAAAAUCCAUUAUACUCUGAUCCUCCACCUCCAUAUCCAGUAUAUAACGCACAACCAUAUGUUCAACCCCUAUCUUACCCACAAUGGAACACACCAACUCUUCAGAGCCGUCCUCUAACCCCACAAACAUACCAAAACCCUUCUAAGCCUGAUUUUCGAUCCAAGCCAAAUGAUGAAACGAGGCAGAAGUCGAGAGAUAACUUCACACCAAUUGGAGAGUCGUAUGCCAGUUUAUUUCAUAGAUUAGUACAAUAGGGCAUGAUCACUCCUCUCCUUGGGUGCAAUUUUAAUCGGUGUUUAAGAAAUUUUGAUCCUAAUAUGCGAUGUGCGUAUCAUUCUGAUGCUUAGGGUUAUAGUAUUGAAGAUUGUUGAGAUUUGAAAAGAGAAAUUGAAAAGAUGAUUUAAGAUGGAUCAAUUAUGGUGCAGAACAUUGACAGUGAGGGAAGCUCUAGUCAUGUUGAUAGACAAACCAGUGGUUAAGUUGUCAGGCUGAGCAAUUGAGAAGUCACCCCCCUCCCUACUAGGAAGAGGUCUGGUAGUUUGUUUUGUUUUAUUUUCUGUUAUUUGAAUUAUUUCAGGGUUGUAGUUCGGGAUCUAUCUUGUUUUGUCCCUUUUUCGUUAUGUUCAAACUCUUCUAUCUUUCAUUUUUAUUAAAUGAAGUGUCCCAUUUUUCUUUGUGUUUUAAAUAUGUGUCGUUUGUUUGUUUUCUUUGCAUAGUAUAUUUUAUGUUGACUCUAGUGAUAUGACAUGCUAGUGAAAUUUACAGCCAAAUCUUAAAAUCUAGUUUAAGCAUGAACAUUGAAUCAGAGGGUUAAAGUUAGAAAAAGAGAGCAUCUGAGAAAAUAGGUAGAGUGCUGAGACAUUUGGUGACAAGUUCAAGCCUUCUUUGAAAAUUAAGGCAAUUAUUUUAAGAAUCACAAGAAUAACUUGGUCAUCAAUUGAAAAACAUUGCUCAAUUAGGUCAAAUAGCGGAUGUGUGAUCCCGAGAAAUAGAAAAAUCAACUCCACAAAAGCAUGAGUCAUUCGAUGUGAGGAAUGUACAACAAAAGUGGAGUGAUAUAUUGAACAAAGUGCAAGAGUAGUGACGCACAAACUCAGUUAAAGUUAUUGCUUAAAAAAGGUCACAAAUGAUCUUCAUCUCUCACUUUCAUAUUGCAUGAUAUGUACUUGAAUUUUUCAAGGAUUGACAUAACGAAGGCAUUUCAUUCUGCUAUCCAAAAAUCAUGUCAUCCUUUGUUUACCCCAUUUGAUCCUUAGUUCUAUUUUCUUUCGUACCCUUCUUUUGGAAUCAGGAUAGAGUCUGCAACGUCCAAGAAAAGUGUCUAAAAAAAGGGUCAGAAAAGUUUCAAAAAAGAGACAAAAUGUGUCCAAAAAGAAAGAAAAGAAGAGUGUCAAGAAAAUGGAGUCAGAAAAUGAAUCCCGAAGAGAAAAGAGACAAUAAAAUAAAAAAGAAAGAAAAGUCAGAUCAAAAGAAAGAACAAGUUGUCAGAACUACACGUGACCUGAUUCUCCUCUCUCGGGGGUGAGAUACGUAGGUGCCCUACUCUGGGCUCGGUCCAACCAAAUAAAUAAUUUAGAAUUGCCCAGUCAAAAAACACUAGGGCAUGAGUUAGUCUUCAUUGUUUGAGUCGAUUCCAAAAGUUGUAAAUUCCACCCCACUUCAAGUGUCGUUUGGGCCUCAUGUCAUCCUUUCUUUCUAAUCCUUUCCAAAAGCCAAGUUACAACCAAAGAAAGACCUUCAGAUCAAUCUUUGAUGUUAAGGAUAAGCAUGCAAGGGAUAUGAUGAUGCAUUUGGGAACUACUUGUCUUCCUCAGCAUAAGGAAUCAAGAGAGAAAUAAAAAUGAGAGAGGCUUAUUAGUGAAAACCCUUACGGGCAUCAUAAGAUGAUGGUAAGUUGAGAGAGAUAAAAAUGAGAGUCUUAUCAGUAAAAACCCUCGCGGGCACUGUAAGACGACUGCGAGUUGAGAGAAAUGAAAAUAAGAGUCUCAUUGGUGAAAAACCCUCACGAACACCGUAAGGCAAUGGUGAGCUGAAAAAAAAAGGAUUUUUGGCAAAAACCAUUCAAGGUGUCACUAGCCGAAUGAGGUCUUAAAGGCAAUUGACCUAAGAAAACAACUCAGUUUCAGGGUCGUUAACUCAAGAACAAUUGGUAGAAAGUUUGGAUGAAAAGAUCAGGCAACUUAAUCCAAAAUGCAUGGCAUAAUCAUUAGAGUUGACUGUCAUUUUUAGAUAAAUUGUUACUUCUUUGUUUCAAAUGGGGACAUUCAUUGUCUUUUUAUUCUUUUUUAUUUUUAUUUUCUUGAGUCAGUUAUCCAAAUAAAAAUCAUUGUCAUUAUUUUUCUCUUUUCUUUGAGUCUAGUCCAUGUCAAAACAAGUGAGAAAAGAUUUCAAAACUGGCUACCAGCUUCUUUAAUUGUACAAAGCAAGACAAACGGCUAGCACAUGAAAGAAACAAGAUUACAAGUCAGAACAAGGGGUGCAGAAGGUUGUUGUUAAUUGAAAAUCUAGGAAAUUCGAGGAAAUACCAAGGUUUAAAGGGAUUGUCUGAGAAACACUGCAAAACAGAGAUACUGUGUUUGUUUCAGAGUCACUCAUAAUCAUUUGAGUUUGAAUCAAUGAAGCAACAAGUCAAUGACACAUGCUAAGGGUUGAAAUCAAGAUCAAAUGUGACCAGUGCAAGAGCGAUCAUCGCGAAAGCUAAAGCCGCAAACCAGCCACCACAUUUUAUACUCACAAGUUUUCUUUGAUGAAACAAAAAACAUAUUACCUUCAAAGCAGGGACUGCAGAGCAUAAAUAUCAAGGGCUGCAAUGCCUCACUUUUAAAAAUGCAGGAAGCAAUGUUUCUGCACAGGUUUGAUAAUCAAAUCAUGGUAAAAAAUUAUCAUCUUAUAUCCUUCAGAGACACACUUUCUUGUCCAGGGAUUUCAGUUUUCAUUUGCUAGGUGAUACACUUCUUAAAUUGAACCUUCACUCCUAGGAGACGUAUCUUCUAGUCGAUUCAUUCUAUUUGACUCUUAGAAGACGUAGCUUUUAGUCGAGUCAUUCCCCUUGACCCCUAGAAGACGUACCUUUUAGUCGGGUCGUUCCUUUGAUUCCUAUAAGAUGUAACUUUUAGUCUAAUGAUUCCCCUUGAACCCUAGAAGACGUAACUUUUGGUUAAGUCGUUCCUUUAAUUCCUAGAAGACAUACCUUUUAGUUGAGUCAUUUCUUUGAUUCCUAUAAGACGUACCUUUUAGUCGAGUCAUUCCCCUUGACCCCUAGAAGACUUACCUUUUGGUCGAGUCGUUCCUUUGAUUCCUAGAAGACGUACCUUUUAGUUAAGUCGUUCCUUUGAUUACUAGAAGACGUACCUUUUAGUCGAGUCGUUCUUUUGAUUUCUAUAAGACGUACCUUUUAGUCGAGUCAUUCCCCUUGAACCCUAGAAGAUGUACCUUUUAGUUGAGUCGUUCCUUUGAUUCCUAGAAGAUGUACCUUUUAGUCGAGUCGUUCCUUUGAUUCCUAUAAGACGUACCUUUUAGUCGAGUCAUUCCCUUUGAUUCCUAUAAGACGUACCUUUUAGUCGAGUCAUACUCCUUGAUUCCUAUAAGACGUACCUUUUAGUCGAAUCAUACCCCUUGAUUCCUAUAAGGUGUACCUUUUAGUCGAAUCAUCCCCCUUGGUUCCUAUAAGACGUACCUUUUAGUCGAGUCAUCCCUUGGAUUCCCAUAAGACGUACCUUUUAGUCGAGUCAUCCCUUGGAUUUCUAUAAGACGUACCUUUUACUAAAGUCAUUCCUUAUGAUUCCUAUAAGACGUACCUAUUAGUCGAGUCAUUCCCUUUGAUUCUUAUAAGACGUACCUUUUAGUCGAGUCAUUCGCUUUGAUUCCUAUAAUGAUGUGACUUUCACAAAAGUCCUUUGAUGGUAAACUGGGGCAAAAUUUAAUUCUUGUGUUUGGAACUUCGCUUUUAUGGCAAAUGAAACCUCAUUAUAAUAAUCUUUGGUUGGGAUAAUUUUCUUUUUAGUUUUAAUGUGAUUUCAGGAGCCCUCCUGGAGAACAGGGUAAAGAAAUGAAAAGUUAAGCAACAAAGUGAAGAAGUUGAAAGUCAAGCAACUAGGUGAAAAGUUGAAAGUUAACAGAUUGAAAAAUAGCAAGUCAGGAGCCCGCCUGAAGAAUAGGGUGAUGAAAUGGCAAGUCAGAAGCCUGCCCGAAGCACAGGGAGAAUAAAUGUAAAGUUAAGCAACAAGGUGAAGAAAUUGAAGACCAAGAAACAAGUAAUGAAAUUGCAAGUCAGGAGCCCGCCUGAAGAAUAGGGUGAUGAAAUGGCAAGUCAGAAGCCUGCCCGAAGCACAGGGAGAAUAAAUGUAAAGUUAAGCAACAAGGUGAAGAAAUUGAAGACCAAGAAACAAGUAAUGAAAUUGCAAGUCAGGAGCCCGCCUGAAGAAUAGGGUGAUGAAAAUUAAGCCAAGAGUCCAAAAGAAGCUGCAUAGAUAGGAUUUUUGUAAUUUCAGUUAGAUGUCAACUUGUAAUUUCAUUUCUGAUGUAAUAACAGAGCUGCGGACCGAAACCUCGAGGGGAACUCAAUCGACUCUCCCACUCGGUAUAGUCCAUCGCCUUCCCAAUCCUUUGAGAUACCUGUCGCUUGAUUCCCUCAUAAUGUGGGUAGGUGGGAUGUCCUAAGUUAAGACUCGGUUGUCCUAUUUCCUUCUGAUUCUUCCUUUGAAUAAUGAUUGGGAAAAAAAUUCUAUCUCGUUGUCUACUUCUUUUUAUGAAAACACUAGGUGUUUACAUUCAAAGGGGGCAUGAUGUAGACAUGUAAUUUUAUCCCGUCAAAACAUUUCUUAUUCCGUUAUCACACAGUUUAACCCCCAUUUUUAUAAUUUUCCACAAGAAAAAAACAAAUAAAAUAACCACUUUAUUUUAUUUAUUUAUUUAAAUAACAAAUCCUAACAAAUUUUGUCUUCUUUUAAAACCUCCCAACAACUUCUCCAAUAAAAAGACAACACCUCACCUAACUACCCUUCCCAUCCCUAUACCCGUACACCUCACCUAUUUCUUUCUUUACAAGUUUUAUUUCUUGGAAAAAAAGAAUAAGAGUAGGAAAAUUCUAUUAGGAUGGGACCCACGGAUUUGGAUACAUUCUUCACAUAUAUACACCUAAUCAUCAUCUUCAUUGGGAGGAGAGGGAGAGAGAGAAAAGAACGGGGGAGGGGGGGUCAUCAUCUUUAUUGGAGAGACGCCACUUUGAAGAGGGGCUCUCCAUUUUUAUUUUCCUUUUGCUCUUUACCUUCAUACAGAGUAAAAUCCACCACUUCCUCACUGAAUGCACACACACGCACAUCUCUCAUUUAUCUAAGAAAACACACAUCUACAUACGAAUUAACACACACAUACAGAAAAGGUAUAUAUAGAGAGAGAGAUGGUGAGAAGAGUCUAGAUCGGGAGAGAGCAACGAAGAGAGAAAAUAGGCAACGUUGCGACACGAAUAGUACAGCCGCGGGCGUCGGCGUCUCACCUGAGACACGAUUUUCGCGUUUGAAACACUGUUCCGGUGACGCUCAAUUGGAACUGAGUUUUCUGGCUAGCUCUUUGCUUGAAUCGAUUACUUGUUGGUCGCAUUCAAGUACUGCAGACCCAAAUUUUGUCUGGGUUCAUUGAUUUUCAUACUGAUUUUUGGGAUUUAGCUUCUGUCCCGAUCGGCUCGUCCUUCUUUAUCUUUGGGUUUCAAAUUUCCCAAUACCGUGUUUGGUUCGUCGCUAUCGAGGUAUUCUUCUUGGGGUUUCAAGUCCGGGUGUUCUUAAACUUUAUUAUCAACGAAACUUUCUUCAAAGGUCCAUCUCUUAACUCUACUUUUUAAUUAUCUCGUAUGUGGCUAUGUCAUGAUUUUUUAUGUAGUUUUGAAUAUUGUCUGUAGCAUUAACCGUUGUUGUGGGUAUGAAUGAUUAUGUGCUUAAUACGCUUGAAUUGUCGUUGGGCGAAUGUAUGGAUGUUGGUUUUGGGACUGUGAAGGGUGAUUUGAACUGAGGAAUUUGUUAAUCAUUGAUUGUUUAAAGGAAUACAGUUGAGGGGUGGAAUUAAGAAAUUAAUAAAAAGUUGAACGUAGAUUAAUUUUGGAUUUGUUGUCGAUUUGCUCGGAAUACGCAUGAAUAUUGUUGAUACAUAUAGGCAAAUGUCAGUUUGGGUAGGCAAAACUUAGGAGUGAUGUGUUUAUUAAAUUUUUUGAAUGUUUAAUGUGCGUGUGAAUCUUUGUUUCUAGCUUAUCGUAUUUAAUUCAAAUGUAUUUAUUUAGCCGGGGAAUGCCCCGAGACACAUUGUAUUUAUUCACCGGGGAAUGUCCUGACGUACUAUGUUGGCAGAAGAUGUUCAUGAGGAAGGCUCGAGGCAUCGGGUAAAGCAUGGGAGCGUAGUUGAGAUUAGUGUAGGUUAGAUAGGAUUUAUUUUCGCAUUUUUCUAUUUUUGGACUGGACACUAUAUUUUUUAUCCGUUUUGUUUUGUUUGUUUGUUUGAUUGUUACAUGUUUUAUAUGGUUUGUACAUUUGUAGUGCCAAAAUUAGCCGAUAUGCUCCACCAAGAGAUCGUGCUCGAACCACGGGAUCGAGGGGUGCCUAACACCUUCCCCUCGGUCAACAGAAUUUCUUAGCCGAAAUCUCUGUACUCAAAUCAGUCUUAAAGAGUCAAAUUGUUUUGAAAAGGAUUUUUCAAAGGUGACUUGGCACACCAGAUUAUGCCAAGUGGCGACUCUGAGUUUUGAAUGUAAAAAUAAUCUUUUUUUUCGGAACAAAUCUUCAUUUUGUCACUUUAAUAAUAAAAAUUCUUUCGAACCUUAAAACAAAUCUUUUCGGAGAUAAAAAGAGGUGUGACAUACAUGUGAUAUUUCAUAUAAAAACUAUGUUGUUGUUUGUUUUUUCAUGAGCAUCAUGUCAUUUGUAAGGUAUACUACCUACUAGAAUAAGUACGUAUGUUGUUCUGUAUUGUAUGAAUGUUGAUGUUGAGUGUCUUAAAGAUUGUUGGGUUUGUUGCAAAUGUAAUGGAGUUACUUGCAAUUAAUCGAUCAUUCAUCGUUGUAAUUUCAUAUCUCUUACGUACUUAGAGAAUGAAAUGAACGAAUGUACGUUUGAUAUUUAAUAUAAAAACUAUGUUGUUGUUUGUUUUUUCAUGAGCAUCAUGUCACUUGUAAGAUAUACUACAUACUAGAACAAGUGACUAAGUUAUCUCGUUGAAUAAGUAUGUACGUACAUAUGUAUUGUGUGUUUGCGUAUGCUCUGUAUUGCAUGAAUGUUGAUGUUGAUUGUCUUAAAGAUUGUUGGGUUUGUUGCAAAUGUAAUGGAGUUGCUUGCAGCAAUUAAUCGAUCGAUCAACAUCAUAAUUUCAUAUCUCUUACUUAGAGAAUGAAAUAAACAUACGUACGUGUGAUAUUUCAUAUUAAAAUUAUGUUGUUGUUUGAUUUUUCACGAGCAUCAUGUCACUUCUAAGGCAUACUAUCUAUACUAGAAUAAGUAACUAAGUCAUCCCAUUGAAUAAGUAUGUACGUACAGAUGUAUAAUGUAUUUUUUGUGUGUGUAUGCUCUGUAUUGUAUGAAUGUUGAUGUUGAGUGUCUUAAAGAUUGUUGGGUUUGUUGCAAAUGUAAUGGAGUUGCUUGCGGCCAUUAAUCGAUCGGUCAACGUCAUAUCUCUUACUUAGAGAAUGAAAUGAACGUACGUACAUAUCAUGUGAUAUUUCAUAUUAAAACUAUGCUGUUGUUUGGUUUUUCAUGAACAUCAUGUCGUUUUUGUAAGGUGUACUACCUACUAGAAUAAGUGACUAAGUUAUCCCAUUGAAUAAGUACGUACGUACGUACGUAUGUAUUGCGUGUGUUAUUUUGUAUUGUAUGAAUGUUGAUGUUGAGUGUCUUAAAAGAUUGCUGGAUUUGUUGCAAAUGUAACGGAGUUACUUGCAAUUAAUCGAUCGAUCAUCAUAAUUUCAUCUCUUACUAAUUACAGAAUGAAAUGAAGGUACGUACGUGUAAUAUUUCAUAUUAAAACUAUGUUGUUAUUUGUUUUUUCAUGACCAUCGUGUAACUUGUAAGAUAUGCCACGUACUAGAAUAAGUGACUAAGUUAUCCUGUUGAAUAAUUAAUAUGUACGUAUAUAUGUAUGUGUGUAUGUAUGUUCGAUAUUGUAUGAAUGUAAUUAUGCUGAUCAUUUUAAGUCAAAAUAAUUAAAUUUGUUAAAUUCGAUCAAACUAAAAGCAAAUGUAAUUAAAUAUUUUUGGAUGUAAAAAUGGUUGAAAUAAUUAGAAGAAAGUAAAAUUCAAAAGUGACAUAAGCAUUAGGGUUCCACAGUAUGGGAAUAGGCUAAUUAUAUAUAUGAAGUUUCUUGGAAGUUUCUUAUGUCCAUGCAAAUAAACUUGAAUUGUUUAUUUUAUUUUGGAUUUUAAAACAUAAAUUAUUAAAUUAAAAAUAAAAUAGAAUUACAAUGUAGUGAAAAAUAUAGAGUUAAAGAGUAAAAAAAACACCUUAAUUAUUUCAGUUUUUUAAGUUUCAUUUCUGACCUAUUGUGAGUGUAAGUUUUCUACAUGUACUAUCACCCAAUCAAGAACGGCCCUAGGUUCAAAUUAGUGGUCUCCGGUAUCCAUUAAGCUCGACCUAGAAUGGGUAUAAAUUAUAAUUAUAUAAAAAGUGUAUAAAAAUUUAUAUAAAAUGAAAAAACACCCUCGGAACCAAAAAGAUAGUUGAGUGCUUUGGUUUUCAUGCGGAAUUUUAAAACUUUGGAUGUCAAUACAUGUGUUCCAACCUCCCGAGUAUCCACGACGCCUAAAUCCUGGGUCUACUGCACUCUGCACCCAAUGGUUAGCAAAGCACACCUACAGGUUGACUAGAGCGAAUGUUUGUCUACAAACACUUCUAGGCGCGUUUAGCCAUAAAAUCUUCGUCCACCUAACAUAUAUUAACGACUCAUUAAUAUAUAUAUAUGUAUGUAUGUAUGUAUGUAUGUAUGUAUGUGUGUGUGUAGAAAGGGCUAUAAAUAAGAGCCUUUACUUGGAAAAAUUCAAAUUCAACAAUCCCCUCUAUAUCUCAAGGCAAACUAUGGCUGGAAAACAUACUAAUUUCCUUUUUGCUGCUCUUCUCGUGGUCAUUACUAGUUAAUAUAUAUUUUCAUUUCAGUUUUUCACUUUUGUAUUUCGUAUCGUACCAUAGUUCUUCUGUCUCAAUUUAUGUGACGAUUAAUUAAUAACUUGAUUUUCUUCGAUUUAAUUUGUAUGCAGUACUACUCACCUCUCCAACUAUGCAAGUGAUGGCAUUGCGAAGCUUACCAGAAAAUGUGGAUGAUGUUGCAGUAAAUUUAUUGAUUCCAAACAUCCAAUUUACUUGUAAGAGUUCUUGCAGGAAUGAUGAUGAUUGUUCUGAAUGUUGGAUUUGUUGUAAAUGUGGAAGAGGCACUUGUAGAAUGGACACUAAAUUCAUAUGAUCUCUUAGCUAGAGAUCGAAUGUACGUACGUAUUGUUGAAUAAAAAUGUACCACAUCAGUAAGGGAUGAAAUCUCUCUGGAGUAUUCGUUAUACGCGUUGGCGUUUUGUGAUCUAUCGUAUGUAUGUAUGUAUUUAUGUAUGUUCAGUAUUGUAUGAAUGUAUUUGUGUAUUAGUCCUCCUCCUUUAUCUUGGACCGAUCAAAACUUACAGUUACAUGGAGUAUCACUAUGAAAUGACAAUCAUGACAAUCUAAAUUAGUCGAGCUCCACUGAUAGUAGCAGUAUCACUAUGAAAUGACUCAUGCAGUGCAUAAAUCUAAAUUAGUCGAGCUCCACUAUGAGUAUCGGAUAGUAGCAGUAUCGCUAUGAAAUGACCCAUGCAAUGCAUGAAUCUAAAUUAGUCGAGCUCCACUGUGAGUAUCGAACACCAGGUAGGGAAUAAAAAAAAGUAAGGGAAGGUAAAAGGCAUAUAUGUAAAGCUGUUUAUGAAACAAAAGGAAGAGAAAAUCAGUCAGAACAUUUCAUUCACCAAGAAUAGUUCUAAUUUGCUCAGAAGGAUAUUUAUCAUAUUUUUAUUUGUACAUACAAAGCCAGCCAUAUAAUGAUCUCAAAACAACAAUAUAGUUUACAAACCAUUGUUCAGUAUAGGACUGAAAAUUUCAAGUGCCUUCAAUGACAAACUUCACAUACUCAAAGGGUAAGAUGUUGUACCUUUCUUGUGUUACUAGCAACUCCUUGAUUUGAUUUUCUCUCAUCUUGCUCGUCGUACGAGUUCCCUCUGUAACUAGAGCUAGCUUCUUCGUUAUCCGAGCAGCCUGGUCUUUCCGUUAGGAAUUGUUCCCAGAACACAUCGUUCACGCGAACUGGAGCAGCUGCUGCAUGGCCUUGCUUGUUGCCGGUUGCAUCGUGUGAAGGUGGCAAAGGUUUGUCAUUGGUAGGAGGGGUUUUGUCAUUGGCAUCAGACUGUGAUUCAGAAUGUUUACCUAUCUCUUGACCGAUUUGAGGCAUCCUCUCUGAAUAUUGAUUUUUAUCGACUUGUGAAAGGCAUGAAGCCAAAGAAAGAUUCAGUUGGCAGGAAAUGUGACCGUCAACUUCCUCGUUGGAUGUCAGGCUUUGUGGCAAGGAAUGCAGUCUCGAGUGUUCAACGUUGCUUGAAGUACGCGGCAAAGAUGAAUCUAUCUUUAAUGUAAAUGACGUCCCUGUAUCUGAUAGUUCUAUUGCUUCAGGGGUAUACAGUACUCCACCCGUUCGAAGUUGUACUUCUCUGGACCAUCCUUCAGAUAUUCUCCUAUGUGGGCUUCCGCCAUCUUCGUUCGAACUUUGGGUGCUGCAUGAAAGAACAUUGAUAUCUGAAACAGCAGGUGACAAUUCAAGCGUGAGCUUAUUUGAGAAGUCUUGAUGGCAAAGGUUCCCAAACUCGACUCUAGAACUGCUAUGGUUGUCCACCGACAUACUUUCUUGAACUGGUUGAGUGCUGUCAAUUUGAGGCAAUCGCCUCUUCUUACUAAAUGCAGAGAUAUCCAUGGAUUCGAGUUUCUGAGCAAGACGCUCAACAAAGUCCGGAUUUUGAAUUGCCUUCUCGACAAAUGUCAGUAAACUCUCCUGCCUUUGCUCUAUACUGCCAACCCGCCCAGUUAGUUCUUCUAGUUGAAGUUUUGCAGCAGAUUGUUGCUGUCUGAACCUUACGACAUUAGCCUCGAGCCCAGACUUCUCACGUGAAAGCUUAUCAAUCUCUUCCUCAAAUGCAGCUCUUUCUGGAUCAACUGCGGAACCUGGAGGGUGACUAUGGCUGUGAAUGGGUUUUCUACGAUGAAUGUUCUUAAGUAAAUGCUUCUGGUCUUUCAGAAAAUCCUCAUUGGCAAAUUCCCAUCUUUCUGGAUCAAUCUUCCGGAAGCCCUGUCAAUUAGAUAUAUUUAUUAUGAGACCAAGCACAAAACGAUCCAAAUAGUAGCAAAAUUGAUAGCGAGGAUUAGUAAAGUCAACCCAGCUAGCUCAAUAACUGGUGUUCCACAAUUGAACUAGUUGAAACUUGAAAGAAGCGGCCGAAUAACUCAAAACUAGAUUUCUUUAUAUUCGCGAAAUGAGAUUUAUCACCAACCGUACAGUGGAAGUACAUCGGUACAUCUCCUUGAACAAGUGAUAGGUGCAAUUAGAAUCUAUCAACAUUGGAUAGUGUAUCCCUAUUUAAUGAAAACGUAUCAUCAAUCUAGUUCACAAGCAGCAAAAAUCAGGAGAUAAAAUCUAAUCAUUUAUUUUAACCUCUUUAACAACAAUUUAUCGUUGUGUCUCAUUUAUUGCAAUAUAAACACCGUUCGUAUCGGGUACAAACCAUGCUGAGUUUUACAACCAACUCGGAAUAAAUAUGACAACUGGAACUUCAAUAAAUAUACCCUUAAUCAUUAGGGAACCGAGGCGUUUCACAGAUCACAAGGAAUAACAAAUAAACAUAAGCUGCAACGACUACACUUUAUAUACAGGAGUUACUUAGAAAAAAAAAAAAGACAGCCCGGUGCACUAAAGCUACCGCUAUGCGCGGUGUCCGGGGAAGGGCCCUACCACAAGAGUUACUUAGCAUUGUAUAAAUCUGAAAAAAACUGCACAUUAACUUAAGCGAAUUAAUGAGGUUCCAUCAGAUAUCAUGCAAAUUCUAACUAUGCUUUGAAAACAGAAAUGAACGUCUGCGCAAAUGCUUUUACUAAAAUUGUUUUGUACAUUUCAAUAUUUCAUUGAUCAGUUGUAUGUACUUCAAUAUCUAUCACGUCACCCAGGAAGGUGUUUUUUUCCCCGCAUAAAUGAUCAGUCAAUGCCUUGUACAAAGUCAUUUAUUAAAUCAUCAGUCCGUGACUGGUAUGAUGUGACAUGCAGAGAUUUCAUCCCCGUUGUGUGUAGAGAAUGAUGCCAACAUCUUCUUGUACAAACUAUAGAUGCAACCAGGACACAGCUUUUCCAUUACAAAAGGUUUGUUUUCAAAAGAAUAAUGCUUUUGUGGAAGAAACACAUACUGGUUUUAGCUGACAUGUCGAGAGAAACGUUGAAUCACUGAUACAGAGUCGAGAAACACAUACGAAACAAGAGAAUAAUGUUUCCCUAGGAUUUUCGCUAGGGAUUCAUAGAUGAUUUCUUCCCAACUUUCCGCCAGUGUUAUUAUUCACAUGCUACAGCAAACAGCUGUUGGAUCAUAAUAACAAAAGCAUCUUCUUUCAAUGUCCAUGACGCUUUAGCCCUCAAACCCAUUCUUUAAUCUUUCUAAUUAACACUCUCACAGAUCCCAAUGCAUCUUCUCAGACAUAAACUGAUCGAAAACAGCUAGACGUGAUAUCUUUUGCUACCCAAUGGGCACUCAUACUACAUGGUUAUACUAUGUCCUGGAAAAUGUAAAACAGAUGAUGAAAUUCGCGCAAAAGAAUCAUCCCAGUCUCUUGUCGGUCCGUUAGGGAACAAACUACUCUAGAACCAGCAUUUAAAGUAAGUGACAAAGACCAUCAGAUCCACCCAACUACGAGUGUGCAUCAUAUGAUAAGCUAUGGUACUGCUGCUUUACUUUAUCUAUGUUUCAUUUAAAUUAAUAUACUCGUGUCAAAUGAAAGAUAGCAGUGGCAAGUGCACUAGCCUUUUGACGUUCACACUGUUUAUUGACAUGUCAUUAUAAGGUUAAACACAACGAAACACUAAAGGUCGUGCCGCAGGUACAUUCUGCUGGAGAAACAAUUUUAGAAACGGCUAAAUUCCUCAAAACCAUAUGCAUCACGGAAAGAUCUACUUAUAUUAACCUUAUGUCAACAAUUUCAAAGGUUAAAGAAUCCUUCUAAUACCUUUUUUCUGUGCGUAAGAAAAUUCGUUAGCACCAAGCAAGACUGGAAGCAUCCAUAUAUAUCAAGUGUAAAGCACACAACGAAAGUCCAUACACACAGAACAACCCCCAACGAGAAAAGAUAACCCCUUGACAUCAUCCCAUUUUGAUUUACUACUCGUCAGCAACUACUUCUUCAAAUCAACAACAAUUCUACUUCAUCUGCACCUGUUUCGGUCCAAUACUCAAAUAUGUUCCAAGGGAAUUCAAGCAGCAAACAUCGAAUUAUCACAUAGAAAAUUAAACAAAGAAACUCCGUGUUUGCUAGAUGCAAGAGGUCACCUAAAAUUCAUCGAUAAUUCAAUAAAGCACUAUAAGCAUAGAAAUAAGGAAAUACAACACCCAAUGGUGUGGUCUAGAGGUCAAUGAAGUGGGUUGAGAAUCAUGAGGUGUUGGGUUCAAAUCCCAUCAAAAGACAUAAAUACUAGGUGAUCUCUUUCCGUCUAUCCCAUCCUUGGUGAACAAAAUUACCUAAUACCUAUUGCUAGUGGGAGGUGACAGACAUCCCAUGAAAUUAGUUGAGGCGCACGAAAGCCGGCCUAAACACCACGGUUGUCAGAAAAAAAUGUGAAAACACAGCAAAUCAGGCCAGAAGAUGACAAACUAGACAAUUCAAUAUCAAGUAAACCCAUUUCGAAAGAUAGAAAAUCAAUUCAAUGAUCCAAUUCUUCCAUUGAACCCUUCAAUCUUACAGAACAAAAAUCAAUUCAACGAUCAAAUUCUUAAGAUAAACCCUUCAAUCCAAAGAUCCUAUUUCUCAGCUAAACCCAUUGAAACAGAAUGAAAAUCAAUUCAGUUUUUAAGCUAAACCCAUUUAGAAAGAUAGAAUAUCAUUUCAAUUCUUCAGCUGAACCCAUUUUGAGAGACGGAAAAUCAAUUCAAGAAUUCAAUCUUUAAGCCAAACCCAUUUCAACAAUUCAACUUUUAAGCUAAACCCAGUUCAACAAUUCAAUCUUUAAGCUAAACCCAUUUCAAGAAUCCAUUCUUUAAGCUAAACCCAAUUCAACAAUUCAAUCUUUAAGCUAAACCCAUUUCAACAAUUCAAUUUUUAAUCUAAACCCAAUUCAAAAAAUCAAUCUUUAAGCUAAACCCAAUUCUAAAAGUCAAUUUUUGAGCUAAACCCAUUUCAAAAAACAGAAAUUCAACUCAAUAAUUCAAUUUCUAAGCUAAACCCAUUUCAAGAAUUCAAUUUCUAGGCUAAACCCAUUUCAAAAAAUAGAAAAAAUCAAUCCAAAAAUUCAAUUUUAAGCUAAACCCAUUACAAGAAAAGUCAAAAUACAUACGUAGGUGUUGAGCUGUCGAAUGAAACUGGAGAAAUUGUUGUGUUUAAAAUACGUAGGAAGAAGAAUUCUUGCAAAUUCCGGUGGAUUCCACACGACAAAACUGUGUCCGGUCGGAGUCCAUGAUACGAUGUCGUCCGUUUGGGUAUCAUCCACCAUCUCAUAUGUCUUCAACAAAAACGGCGCCGGACCUCCGCCGCCACCGCCGCCGCCACCUGCCGCCGCCGCUGGAGAAAUUACGUCCAUUUGGAAAUGCGACGAUGAAGGGACGACGACGAUGUUUAUUGGAUUUAUUGAAGCCGUCCGAAUUUGACUUCAAAGUUUUGGAGUCCUUUUGACUCUUUGCUAAUACCCGGGUCGGGUCGGUUUGUUCGAAUUUCGGGUCGGCAGCAUUUUCUACUUUUCAUUUCAAGUUAUUUGUCAUGGGUUUCUUUUUAGUCUGUUUUAAAAAGAAUGAGUUUUUGCUAAGGUUUGGGUCGAUCGAAUCAGGUUGGUUUGUUUGGGUUUUGGGUCAAGUCGGAUCGGAUUGGUUCAGUAUCAUUUUCUACUUUCUGUUUUAAGUUGUUUGUAUUAGGUUUCUUUCUAGUCCGUUCUAAAAAGAAUGUUUACUUCUCCUAUCUCAAUUUAUGCGAUGUUGUCAGAUCGGAUCGAUUUGUUUCGGGUUGGAUUGGGUGGAUUCAGUGUCAUUUUCUACUUUCCGUUUCAAGUUGUUUGUCUUAGGUUUCUUUUUAGUCCGUUUUAAAAAGAAUGAGUUUUUGCUAAGACUUAGGUGGACCAAAUCAGGUCGGUUUGUUUGGGUUUCGGGUCAAGUCGGAUCGAGUUGGUUCAGUAUAAUUUUCUACUUUUUGUUUUAAGUUGUUUGUAUUAGGUUUCUUUCUAGUCCGUUCUAAAAAGAAUGUUUACUUCUCCUUUCUCAAUUUAUGUGAGGUUGUCAGAUCGGAUCGGUUUGUUUCGGGUCGGAUCGGGUGGAUUUAGUGUCAUUUUCUACUUUCCGUUUCAAGUUGUUUGUCUUAAGUUUCUUUUUAGUCUGUUUUAAAAAAAAUGCGUAUUACUUCUUAUGUCUCAAUUUAUGUGAUGUUACUUAACUUAGACUACAAAAUUUAAGAAAGGAAACAUACUCUUUUUGUUCCUUUUUAAUUGACAUGUUUCAUUUUUUUAGAGUCAGUUAACUGUAAUCAAAGAUUUGCAGUUCCUUUUGAGUCUUUGCUAAUGCCAGCUGGCCGGGUCGGUUUGUUUGGGUUUUGGGUUGGGUCGGGUCGGGUCGAGUCAGUUCAAUAUCAUUUUCUACUUUCCGUUUCAAGUUGUUUGUCUUAGGUUUCUUUUUAGUUCGUUUUAAAAAGAAUGUUUGUUACUUUUUCUAUCCCAAUUUAUGUGAUGGUAUUUGACUUGAUACGAAAUUAAAAAAAAGAAAGACAUACUCCCUUUGUUCCUUUUUAACUAUCAUGUUUCAUUUUUCGAGAGUUAACUAAUUAUCAAAGUUUUGCAGUCUCUAGUCUUUGCUAAGUCCCGGUUUACACGGGUUUCGGGUCAAUGUAGUUUGACAAAUUAAUAGUUUACGUAGAAUGUAUGUGUUUGCUCAUUCAACUUUAUCUAGGUUAAGUGUCUAUUUGUGCAUAUUUAAUGUUGGAGGACAUAAGGGUAAGUCAAAGUCAAGUUAAAGAGCAUGUUUAUCUAUUUUGUUUCCAAAUUCGACAUUCUCUAUGAUAAAUUUAAGACAAUAAAAAGUAACCUUUAACUAGGUGUCAACUCGUAUUUAUGUUCUCCAUAAAAAGUAAUCUCUCUACUUCAUUUGAAGUAGUGGUAUGGACUUCGUACACUUUACCCUUCGGCCUUCUCAGACUCCAUUUUUUGGGAAAUGCACCGGGUAUGUUGUUGUUAUUGUAACUAGGUGUCAGAUCGCAUUUAUACUUUCCAAUUUUGGUUUAGUACAAGUAGUCACUUAAACUUGUAUAAAGUUGAGUAAUUGGAUACAUGCGUCCUACGUUACAUCUACUUGGCAAUUCACGUGAGAUUGCCUGAUUUUUAGUCACACUCAAUCUUUAAGGGCAUAAUACAUAAUCGUGUCUUUUAACUUGGUGUCAACUGACAUCUACGCUCUCCAACUUUGGUUAUGCACAAAUAGACACUUAAAUUUGUAUAAAGUUGAACAAGCAGACUCACGUGUGUUACGUGGAAUCUACAUGGUAAUUCGCGUGAAGAUGUGCCACGAAGGAUAUGACCUCCGUGCUUUUUUUAAGGUUGAUUCGGAAGGUGGUAAAUAUCAACCCUCACCAACAGAGGCGGAGCUAGCCUAUGAAAGGGGGGUUCGGACGAACCCUCUUCAACGAAAAAUUAUAUUAUUAAUACAUGGUUAAAAUAAAUUUUAUUUAUAUAUUCUAGACGUUGAACCCUCUUCGAUGAAUUUUUCUUCAGAUUUUGAACCCCUAAGCAAAAAUCUUGGCUCCGCCUCUGCUCACCAACAUGAAGAAAGUUCGGAUAUAGCCUUCAUUCUUGUGACAUCCAUUGGAAGUACUUCUAGCAAAUACAUAUAUAAGUUUAUGGUGAUGCUUAUGCUCAACAACAACAUACUAGUGAAAUUCCACAAUUGAGAUUUGGGGAUACUAGUGAAAUUCCACAAUUGAGAUCUGGGGAUGAUAGAAUGCAGGCAGACUUGACCACUACCUCGUGAAGAUAGAGAAGUUGUUUUCGAAAAAAUCUCUAGACUGACCAUCAUUAAAAAAAAAAGAACUUGCAGUUUUUUAAUUGGUAUAAGGAUCACUAAUAUUGAUAUUAACUGAGGUACCAUAUAAGUACGUUUGAAUCUUUUAGAGAAGAUAAAUGCAUGUUUUCAUUGCCAUUUAGUUUUCUUUUUAAAUAUACAACUAUACUUUACAUAUUCCACAACACAUAGAACAUUUUAUUCAUAAUAUAUGGUUCUUAAUAUGAGAAAUUACAACCCAUAGAUAGUGGUUCACGUGAUUUUAUCAAAAUACUCAUAAACAUCAAAAUUAAAGUACCUAAAACAUUAAAUAUUUUUAGAAUGACACCUUAUUGAAAAGGAAAUGGACUCGUUAAAAAUAAUUAUUACAACAACAACAAUAAUAAUGACAUCGUAGUUAUGGUUGAUGAUCGCGAAAUUUCUUUAUCUUUCUCAUCAUCUAUUUCCAGGACCUCGAGGGCUCUUAUUCCCCGGAUCAACAAUUCCUUUUUCUGGAUGACCCCAAUCUCUCCCUAUCACUGAUAAUCAGAAUAAAAAAACAUUGUCAGUCAGAAACAUUCUUUCAGUUACAUGAUCUUUUUUCAUAGAAGUUUGACAAACAAAACGUAAAAAAGAAUCUUAUAGAAUCCAUUUUUUUGGAUAUCGCUCCCAAUAAAAAAUCAAAAAAUCAUAUAUACCUGUUGUAGCCAUUCUUGUGGGAACAAGUAAACCAGCCAAAAAUAUAAAGAAAACGAACAAGGUAAGUGUAGCUUUGUCUAACAUUUUUAUCAAGCACUUAAGAAAAUAAAUUACUUUUUGCAUGUGAGAUCGACUAGUGUCAAUUUAUUUAUUUUAGAAGGGUUCAAUUGCACUGAAAUGUUAAAUUUAUUUAGAAGUUUUAUUAUAAAGACUUUCUUGGUAAUGAAGUCAAGUCUUACUUUAAAUUCCACACGUUUUAAUACUUCAUAAUUUUCAAAAUUAAACAGCAAAAGGUCAUGUGUCAAGUCUUACUUUAUAUAGCUUUGUAUAACAUUUCAUCCAUUCCUGUAACAUACUCCUUUUGUUCCUUAGACAUGUUUCAUUUUUCGAGAGUCAGUUAACUGGCCGGGUCGGUUUGUUUGGGUUUUGGGUUGGGUUGGAUCGAGUCAGUUUAAUAUCAUUUUCUACUUUCCAUUUCAAGUUGUUUGUCUUAGGUUUCUUUUUAGUCUGUUCUAAAAAGAAUAUUUAUUACAUUUUUUUUAUCCUAAUUUAUGCAAUGGUGUUUGACUUGAUGCAAAAUUUAAAAAAAAAGGCAUACUCCCUUUGUUCCUUUUUAACUAUCAUGUUUCGUUUUUCGAGAGUUAAGUUAACUAAUUAUCAAAAUUUUGUAGUCUCUAGUCUUUGCUAAGUCACGGUUUACACGGGUUUCGGGUCAAUGUAGUUUGAUAAAUUAACAGUUUACGUAGAAUGUAUGUGUCUGCUCAUUCAACUUUAUGUAGUUUAAAUGUAUAUUUGUGCAUAUUUAAUGUUGGAGGACAUAAGCGUAAGCUAAAGUAAGUUCACUACAAGAAAAUGCAUUUAUUGCUAUAAAAUAUCUCGUAGAUAAACAUGAAAAUAUCUGUGGCUAAAUACUUUAGCCACCAAUUUUUUUUCCGUAGCAUUCGUAGCAAGAAGUGGUGUAACUAAAGUUAGUUACAGACUUUAGAUGGUCUGUGGCUAAGGAUAAAUAUUUACAGCUACAAAAAAAUCAUCUUGUAGCUAUGAUGGUAAAAACAUCUUGCUACGAAAUAUAUACUUAUAGCAAAUAAUUUUACUCUUUUGCCACAAUAAAUAAAAUCUGUAACAAUUUUUAUAAUAUAGCCACAAUGUAAUCUCGUUGUUCAAACUUUUGUACCAUUGAUAGUCAAUUAUAUUUUAAAAAUAAUUUAAAUGUUAAUUAUUGAGAUUUAUAAUAUCUUUUUUCUAUUCGAAAUUAAUUAGUGGCACUGAUAUAAUUUUGAGAGUCAAUCAAAUAUUUAUAUCUUUUAAUUUUUUUAAGUUGUUAAUUAUCUUAAUUAAUAGUAUUUUUUACAUGGUUUUUUAAAGAAUAUAACAAAUAUUUUUUUUUAAGAUAUUUUAAGUUGUUAACUAUUACAAUUUAUAAUACUCUUUAUGUAAUUUUUCAAAGCAGAUAUGUUACUUUUAAUGUUUAAAAUUUUAUGACAUUGAUAGUCAAUUAUAUUUUUUAAAUAAUUUAAUUUUUAAAUUAUUAUGUUUUAUAAUUUUUUUUCUAUUCCAAUUUAAGUGGCAUAACAUUUAAAUGACUUGUAAUAACUAAUUAGAAAUGACAUAACAAAAUUAGUAGAAAAAAUACUUGUGAAAAAAAAUUAAGUGGACAUCAUAUAAGACGUCAAGUUAAUAUAAAAUUAAAUAUUAUUAAUUUUUUAAUACUUAGAUGACUUAUACUAAUUUACUACGGGUGAUAUAGUAAAAUUAUAAUUGUAACGGCUGAAGCAGACAUGUUAUAAAUGUCUAUUUUAUUUUUUUAUUAAAUAUUAUUAAUUUACUAAUAUAUAAAUUAUAUAUAAUAAUUAAUUAAAAAAGAUAUAGUAAAAUACAGAACAACAAAAUGAUAUAUCAACAUAAAAUAUUUGAUAAAUAUAAUGCACUAUCCAAUAAUAUUUAAUAUUAUCAUAUUUUGCAUAUGCAAAUAUAGUAUCUCGUAUUUAAUUAAUAUACUAUUCCGGUGAAUUAUCGAUGAUUACUAUUGGAUAUGAUAAAAUUAUAUUAAUUUUUAUAGUAAUAACAUAAUCAAUCGCUCUUAAUUAAUUAUUAUGAGUCAUCUAGGUAUUAAGAAAAUAAAUAAUAUUUAAUGAAAACAAAAUAGACAUAAAAUGCAAAAUUAACUCUUAAUGUUUUAAAUUAAAUUUUCGUCUUUCGAACGAUGAUUUUACUAUAUCACUCCUUAUUAUAAGUCAUUUAUGUAUUAGAAAAAUAAUAAUAACAAAAUGAUAUGUCAACAUAAAAUAUUUGAUUGACAUUAAAAAUACUAGAAAUCACAAUAAUUAACAACUUAAAAAAUUUAAAAGCUAUAAAAUAUUUGGUCGACUCUUGAAAUUAUAUUAGUGUCACUGGAAUUGGAAUAGAAGAAAAGUAUUAUAAAUCACAAUAAUUAAAAACUUAAAUUAUUUUUAAAAUAUAAUUGACUAUCAAUGCCACAAAAAUUUGGACAAGAAAAGUAACGUAUAUUAAUUUAAAAAUUACAUAAAAAAUAUUAUAAAUUACAAUAGUUAACAACUUAAAUUAUCUAAAUACAUAUUAAAAUAACAUAUGUUGAACUCAUGCUAGAUUCCGGAUGAAUUCUAAAAACCAUAUGCAAUCCUUUUAUUUAAAUAUAAUAAGAUUGAAAAGAUAAAUAAAUAUCUUAAUAUUGGACCCGUGCUGACACGGAUCAUGCUCCUCUAGUACCAUAUAUUGACGAAGACCUGUGUGCUUCUCAACUCUUCUACAGAGUAGUAAUUAGUAUUAUUAUAUACUUUUUUAUUCUGAUAAAUUCUUAGAUAAUAUCAUUCAGCUAAAUUUAUGACAAUUAUUAGGUUAUUAAAAUAAUACUAGAUCAUAGCAUGGAUAACUUUAAUACUAAUAAUUGAUUAAUGGAGAUACAAUAUGAUAAAAUUGAUAAACAUACCAUUUCAAAAAAUCAUAUAUGAUCAAAUAACAAUUCUUCAAACUCUUGUUUAGGAUAAAGUUUGAAUGACAUUUAUUAAAUUUUUGCUAAAAUUUAAUACAACUUGUUAAUUUAAAUAAAUGUAAUUAUCCAUUUAUUAAAAUUAAUAAAUAUGUGUGUAAUUGAACGAUUAACAGCUUCAACUAUACUAGAUCGGUAAAAAAAUUGUUCUAAUGAAACAAGUUUUGAGUAAUAACAAUUAUAAAAAUACUUGAUCAAGAUAAAGCUUUAGUGAUCUCAAUAAAGUUAUGUAUUAGUUCGAUACAAUUAGUUUAUCAAAAUUAUAUAGAUAUGAGCACCUCUUAUUGAAAUUUAGUUUACAAAUCUACAUGUAAAUCGAAUAGAAUUGAAUUGAAAGACUAACACCCCCAAUUACAUUAGAUCGAUAAAGAUAUUAUUCUGAUGAAACAAGUUUGAUCAAAUAACGAUUUUGGAAGCACUUGACCAGAAUGAAGCUGCAGUGAGCCCGUGAAGUUAUGUCUAAGUUAGAUACAAUUUAGUUAAUUAAAAUUAUUUGGAUAUAAUCACCUAUUUAUUGAAAUUAUAUUUGAAAUUACUAAAUAGGAUGUAAAAUUAAGUCGAAUUGAAUGAUUAAUACCUUCAAUUACACUAAAUUAAUAAAAAUAUUAUUCCAAUAAACCAAGUUUGAAUCAAAUACAAUUUAGAAAGCACUUAACCAAGAUGAGCUUCAGUGAGUGUGAAGUUAUAUUUAGAUUCGGUAAAACUAGUUAAUCAAAUAUCAUCACCUAUUUAUUGAAACUACAUUUGAAAUAUACAAAGUAAGCUUGUAAAAUUUGCAAUUGAAUUGAAUGAUCAACAUCUCUAACUUACUAGAUUAGUAUUGAUAUGAUAACUUUUAACUCGUGGUAAAAAUAAUUAUUGGAAUCAUAAUAGUAUUGAUAUGAUAACUUUUAACUCGUGGUAAAAAUAAUUAUUGGAAUCACAAUAGAAAAUUUGUGCCUACCUCAUUUUGUAAUGUCAAAUAAUUAAAGGUAAUUAAGUCGUCAAUUAUUGCCACAACUUUUUCAGUACUUGAAGUAAUUUCUUUUUAUUUAACUAUAAUAUUUUUUUUAAUGAAUCGUUUUAUGACUAAAAGAUUACUAUUGCUACAAAAAAUUUUAACACAUAGUAAAAAUUAAUAAUUAGCAUUGUUAGUUAAUUAUGCUACCAUUAUUUUGUUACUUGAAGAAAAAAUUAUUUAUUUAGCUAUAAUUUUUUAUUUCAAAUAAUCUACUGUUAAAACGUUACUAUUACUAUAAUAAAUUUAAACUUAUGGCAAAAACUAAUAAUUAGCUAUGAAAUUUUAUUAUAGCAAAAGACGUGACAAUUUUAGUUAACUAUUGCCACAAUUAUUUUGUGACUUGAAGCAAAAAUAUCAAUUUAACUACAAUCUUUGAUUUAAGAUAACUUAUUGUGGCUAAAAGGUUACUAUUAAUACAAUAAAUUUAAACUCAUGGCAAAAAUUAAUAAUUAGCUACUAAAUUUUACUAUAGCAUAAAGACGUGGCUAUAUCUUCUAACAAUUGCUAUAAUUUUUUAUAAUUUGAAGCAAAAAUAUAUAUUUAGCUACAAUAUUUUGCUUCAAAUAAUUUACUGUGGCUAAAAAGUUAUUAUUGCUACAAUAACUUAUAUAACGUAGUAAAAAUAUAUUAUUAGCUAUAAAAUUUUAUUGUAGCGAUAAAGUUGUAGCUAUUUAGGCCAUUAUUGCAUCGAUUGUUAGCAAUUGUAGCAAAAAUGAGGGAUUAGCUUUGUCAAUAAUAUUUUUGUGGCUAAAAUUUUUUACAAAUUUAAAACAACUACGAAAUUCAAUUUUUCGUAGCUAUUAUUAGGUAAUAGCCACAAAUUUUACAUUCAUAGCUUAAAUUUCGUGGCUAUAAAUACAUUUUGUUGUAGUGGUUAAAGAGCACGUUUAUCUAUUCUGUUUCCAAAUUCGACAUUCUCUAUGAUAAAUUUAAGACAAUAAAAAGUAACCUUUAACUAGAUGUCAGCUCGUAUUUAUGCUCUCCAUAAAAAGUAAUCUUUCUACUUCAUUUGAGGUAAUGGUAUGGAUUUCGUACACUUUACCCUUCUCAGACUCCACUUUGUGGAAAAUGCACUGGGUAUGUUGUUAUUGUAACUAGGUGUCAGAUUGCAUUUAUACUUUCCAACUUUGGUUUAGUACAAGUAACCACUUAAACUUGUAUAAAGUUAAGUAAUUAGAUACAUGCGUCCUACGUGACAUCUACUUGACAAUUCACGUGAGAUUGCCUGAUUUUUAGUCACACUCAAUUUUUUUAAGGGCAUAAUACAUAAUCUUGUCUUUUAACUUGGUCGCAACUGACAUUCACGCUCUCCAACUUUGAGUAUGCAUAAAUAGACACUUAAAUUUGUAUAAAGUUGAAUAUGUAGACUCACAUGUGUUACGUGGAAUCUACAUGGUAAUUCGCGUGAAGAUGUUCCACGGAGGAUAUGACCUCCAUGCUUUUUUUUUUUUUUAGGUUGACUCGGAAGUUGGUAAAUAUCAACCCUCACCAACAAGAACAAAGUUCGGAUAUAGCCUUCAUGCUUUUGACAUCCAUGGGAAGUACUUCUAGCAAAUACAUAUACAAGUUUAUGAUGAAGCUUAUGCACCAUGCAUGCCGUUUAUUCUUUAUUUUUCAUUUAAUAUUUGAUAUCUGCGUUAAAAUUCGAUUAAAUUUGAAUUUCUGCCCAAGUUGUUCUGAGCUACAUUACUUGCUAAAUUUGCUUAAUUCUACCAAUGUAUGCUUUUGUUGGGUGACAUAAACAAUUCUCCAAUUUUUUGUAAUAUUAGUCUUCUUCAUUAGAAUCAGAAGAAACUAUUCAAUCAUACGUACUCUACUUUACAAAAUAUUAUAGGUUUUUCCUUUGAAAAAUAUAGUGAAUAAUAUAACAAUAUCUAGAGUAGCCAACUACGACGACGACAAUAACAACAUAUAGUGAAUAAUAUAACAAUUUCUAGAGUAAAAUACGAUUUUAAUUAGUCCUGGGGUAAUAGGACCCUCCUAAAGUUCGGGUGUGUCUCAGCCUUUUCGCGUAUAGUUAAAGGUGGUAAUAGAGCAUUUUCCCUAAAAAUAAUAUAAAAACAGUAUAAUUUUUCAUCGAAAGGGGUUCAAAGGUAGCUCCAACACUGGAUAAUAGAGUGCAGGCAGACUUGACCAUACCUCAUGAAGGUAGAGAAGUUGUUUUCGAAAAAAAUAUCUAGAGUGGCCAUCAUUAAAAAAAAAGAAAAGAAAGAACUUGCAGUUUUUUAAUUGGUAUAAGGAUCACUAAUAUUGAUAAUAACUAAGGUACUUUCAUUUAAUACAAUCCAUAUGAGUUUUAGUACGUUUGAAUCUUUUAGAGAAGAUAAAUGCAUGUAUUCAUUGCCAUUUAUUUUUCUGUUUUAAAUAUACAACUAUACUUUACAUAUUCCACAACACAUAAAACAUUUUAUUCAUAAUAUAUGGUUCUAUCAGCUUUUGAGGGUAACGAGGUCAUUUUAACAUCAUCCUGAUUUUUGUCUACACUUAUUUUCUACACUUAUUAUUAUUAUUAUUAUCAUUUUUUCGUAUCCAUCUCUUUUUCUUUUCUCUCGUUAUCUACCUUUAUUUUAUCAUUCUUUAUGACUUUUGUCUUUUAUUUUUCUUUAAAAGAGGAAACAUAAUGAAAAACAACGAAACAAAAUGAUUAGAUCGAACCCAAAAGUAGGUUGCCUACGUAUCGUGUUGUACAUGAAUCAGAUCUUGCGUAGUUCGGACAGUUUUGCCAAAAUGACCAAUUAAACUUUUCCUUUCUUUUUUCUUUUGUUGAAACUUUAAAAAGAGAAGAAAAUGACAAAUUGUCAAAAGAAUAGACUCUUUUUUGCAUUUUCACUUUUAAAAUUCCUAUACAAAAUGAAACCUAUGAUUACCAAAGAAAAAAAAAUCUUUUUUUUGGAUUUUCGAUUUUGAAUUUAAUAUAAAAAAUGAAACUUGAACCUAUUAAAGAAAAAUCUUUUCGUAGUUUUCUUUUAAAGAUGUAUAUGAAACACCUACUCUAAUAAAGAGUGAAGAAAAUCUUUUUGGAUUUUUGAAAUAAGAUCAACCAAAAAUGAAACCUACGACUAUUGAGGAAAAUCUUUUUUUUUUUUUNNNNNNNNNNNNNNNNNNNNNNNNNNNNNNNNNNNNNNNNNNNNNNNNNNNNNNNNNNNNNNNNNNNNNNNNNNNNNNNNNNNNNNNNNNNNNNNNNNNNNNNNNNNNNNNNNNNNNNNNNNNNNNNNNNNNNNNNNNNNNNNNNNNNNNNNNNNNNNNNNNNNNNNNNNNNNNNNNNNNNNNNNNNNNNNNNNNNNNNNNNNNNNNNNNNNNNNNNNUUUGUUGUUUUUUUUUUUUUUUGACAAAUAAGUAGAAAAGGCAAACAAAACUUUUUUUUUCGCUUUUAGGGUAUUUCGAGAAGACAAAUGCAAAACGUAAAAAAAAUCUUUUUGAGUUUUUGGAUUGUGAAGAACAAAAGCCAUAAAGAGUUCUAAAAUAAACUACGAAAUUCCUCUUUUUUUUUCAUUCUUUUCGACUCACUUUCUCUCUCUCUCUCUCUCUCUAUAUAUAUAUAUAUAUANNNNNNNNNNNNNNNNNNNNNNNNNNNNNNNNNNNNNNNNNNNNNNNNNNNNNNNNNNNNNNNNNNNNNNNNNNNNNNNNNNNNNNNNNNNNNNNNNNNNNNNNNNNNNNNNNNNNNNNNNNNNNNNNNNNNNNNNNNNNNNNNNNNNNNNNNNNNNNNNNNNNNNNNNNNNNNNNNNNNNNNNNNNNNNNNNNNNNNNNNNNNNNNNNNNNNNNNNNNNNNNNNNNNNNNNNNNNNNNNNNNNNNNNNNNNNNNNNNNNNNNNNNCCCCCUAAAAUAAGGGUGACUCAACUAGAGGUUGUGUACAACACGUGUACUACGGACUUGUUGCAGAAAGAAGGCCGGGGGUGGACUCAUGAUGCCAGAUAUAAAGCGGUAACACAUAAGAUAAAUACUAUAAACAAAGAGCACGAAAAACACACAAAAGUGCAAACAAUAACCCAAACAAAAUAACAAACAAUGCUUAUACAUUCGUAAUGCCAAACAAAGCCGAUACGAAUCCAAAAAUAGCUCGAAUUCUCAUACUGUCCCCAGCAGAGUCACCAGAAGCUGUCACACCCCUUUUUACGUACUCCAAAAGAUUAUGUUUAAGUGCGAAAGGGUUUUAUUAUUUAAGUGACAAGAAAUGAAAAUUUGUUUCGGAAAAGAAUUAUUUACAUUUUUUUAUUCAGAGUAGCCACUUGGCAUAAUCUGGUGUGCCAAGUCACCAUUGGAAAAUCCUUUUCAAAACCAUUUGACUCUUUAAACUGGUUUGCGAAUAGAGACUCCGGCUAAGGAAUUUUGUUGACCGAGGGGAAGGUGUUAGGCACCCCUCGAUCCCGUGGUUCAACCACGGUCGCUUGAUAGAGUGUAUCAGCUAUUUUGGCACUACGAAAUAUAUAAACCAAACAAAAGCACGCAAAAUAAUCAAACAAUAAAUCAAACAAAAUAAUCAAAAAUGUAAAGUCCAAUCCAAUUAUACAGUCCAAAAAUAGAAAAAUACGAAAAAAUAUAAAUCCUAUUCUAAACUAAAUCUAGACUAAGCCCCAAUGCCUUACCCGACGCCGCGGGCCUUCAUCACGAACGUCCUUCGGGUACAUGAUACCUCGGGGCAUUUCCCGGUGAAUAAAUAUAUAUACAGAUACUUCGGGCCAUUCCCCGACCAAAUUAUACAAUUGAUUUCAAAAGUGAUAAAAUAAAACCAUUCAAUCCAAUUUCAAACAUUCAAUCAACCCACAAUCUCUAGAUUUGCUUACCCGACCUACAUCUUGCCUAUUCCAAUCGACGUAUCUUGAUACUAUCAAAUUUAAUUAACGUUCAUUUCAAGUCAAACACCUAAGGAAUCAACCUAAUCAAAAUUCACUAAUCAUAUCGAGUUUUCAAUUCUCGCCCCACUUAUUCCCACAUGAAUUCAAAUCUUUCAAUUCCUUCAUUCACGUGAAUCAAUCAAUCAAUAUCAACAAUAGUAAUCACGAUUGCUCAAACAUAAUAUCAAAACAUAUCACUACAUCACAAUCAUCAAACAAACACAGUAUUCACUCCAACACACCAAAAUAUAAUAAACAUUAAAUAAAAGAGGGGAAUAGAAUUGGACCUCGAUGCGUAUCUUUCAAACUCAAAUAUAAAUCGAGUGAAAAGACGAAGACCGCGUCCGAGUAUCCCGAGCAGAACCUCGUUCAACAAACUCACAACUCGGAUCAGCUAACUUUUCCAAAGUCAAAUUCGAAACCCAAAUUCGUGAAAGCAACGGACAAACAGAUCGAAAACCAAACUGUUAAUGAAGCAAACCAGGAAAUGACCGUGAGAUGUCGCCGGAUUAUUUUUUGCCCGAACUCGCCGGAAUCGACUGAUUUGGUCACUGUUUCGUAUUUCGCAGCGAUGGAGAGCCUUAUAAUUCUGGCGUGACUUUUCCGGAAACAAACCACGAACCGAACGGCGAUCCAAACAAGGACGAGACGCCGGAGGUGCAGUGAGCUCAGACGGCGGCAAAGACUGACGACAGAAGAGAGAUUCCGGCAAUUUUUACCAUUUUUCGUCAAAAUCGACCCAGAAAUUGAAGAAAAUCAAGGACAUAUCGGGGUUUUGGGAUUGAACGGGAAGGAGCACGAUUUGUAAUGGAUUCCGGUGACCAGUUCGCCGAAAAUAAAAAACUCAAAGGGGCGAUCGGAACUCUGUCAAACGCCGAUUUUGCUACUCUGUUCGCUGAACCUACGCCAAUCACCCUCCAUUUUUUUAUUUACUGAGUGUGUGUGUGCGGUGACGGGAGUGUGAAUUUGGUCAGUGUAUGUGAUGGUGGGUGAAGAGUAUGAUGAAUGAAAAAUUUUGUGAUGGUGUCCGUGAGUAUGGUUGUUUCCGAUGAGGGUGAGUGAAGAAGAUGAAGUUUUUGUUUUUCUGUAAAAAUGGUUUCCGUAUCUGUGUGAAUGAUGCAAAUAGAUCUUCAAUGGAAUGAAAAGUGAAUGUGUGCUUUCUGAAGAAGGAGAAAAAAAUGGAGAAAAUCCUUGUUCUGUGUGUGUAAAUUGGUUAGCCUCCUCCAUAUUCCCAUGGAUGUAGUGUUUAUAUUUGAGGUGAGAGUGGGUAUUGGGGUAGGGUAGGUAGGUUAGGGUAUGGAGUAGUGAUGUGUUGUCCAAA